AUGGAGCAGUUUCAUGAUUACAAAAUGGUUGAUAACCGUUCUGUAUUGGACCAAGCCCAUGAGAUACAAUGCAUCGCUAAGGAGUUGGAGCUCCUGAAGUGUGAGUUACCGGACAAGUUUGUCGCGGGUUGCAUUAAUGCAAAACUCCCUCCUGGAUGGAGAAACUUUGCUACUUCUCUCAAGCACUUGAGACGUGAAUUCUCUGUUGAGGAUGUCAUCGGUCAUCUAAGUGUUGAGCAAAACUCGAGAGCAAAGGACUCACACGUGAAAGGGGCAGAGGGUUCUUCUAGCACCAAUAUGGUGCAGAAGAACUCCCACAAGUUUAAGGGAAAGAACUCUGUCCAGCAGAAUACUACCUUUAAGAAAAAGGGUAAGAAGAAAGACAAAAGAGAGAUGGCUGCUUUACUUGUGGUUCAGAUGAACAUUGGGCAAACAAGUGCCCGAACAAGUACAAGAAGCCAGCACAUGACUCCAAGUCUGUGA
rnacentral:rRNA from 1 species